rnacentral:rRNA from 1 species
UACAGAGGUCCCAAGCGUUGUUCGGAUUCACUGGGCGUAAAGGGUGCGUAGGUGGUUGGGUAAGUCUGAUGUGAAAUCUCCGGGCUCAACCCGGAAAUGGCAUUGGAUACUAUUCGGCUAGAGGUUUGGAGGGGACUGGAAUUCUCGGUGUAGCAGUGAAAUGCGUAGAUAUCGAGAGGAACACCAGUGGCGAAGGCGAGUCCCUGGACAACACCUGACACUGAGGCACGAAAGCUAGGGGAGCAAACAGG